GUCUGGGUAGUGUAGUGGUUUCAGCCUUGGAAAAUUCUGGGGACCAGGGUUCGAAUUCCUGCUUAGCCA